rnacentral:misc_RNA from 1 species
UACGUGCGUUCGCACUCGUUCGUGGUUGAUUCGCGUGGUUUUCGGGAGCAACGCGAACAACGUGAUCGUCGACGUGAUGACGUCAGAUCUCGAAGCAUAGGCCGAGAGUAACGCGAGUGUGUGUUUAAAGCCGAGGCCAGGCAGGGCGUGUGUGAAAUCGUGCGUCGUGCGUUCCUUCCUUCCGUCAUCGGAUGGAAGGUAUGUGCAAAUAACGGCGCGAGCGCGCGUCCGUUUGUCCGUCCGUCCCGUUUGUUCGUUCGUUCGUUCGUUGGUUGGUUGGUUCGUCGGUUGGUUUUUAUCCGCCGGGAUAGAAAUUAUGUACGGUGCUGUUUUAACGUGAUACGCGUGAAGACGGUGAAGAAUAGAAUAAAAAUAGUUAGAGUACCAUGUUCCGCUGCAUUCCGAUUUUUAAAGGGUGUAACAGGCAGGUGGAAUACGUUGACAAACGUCACUGCUCUCUGCCCUGCAUCCCCGACGACAUCCUGCGUUACUCCAGGAGUCUCGAGGAGCUUCUGCUGGACGCGAAUCACAUCCGCGAUCUGCCAAAGAACUUCUUUCGACUCCAGAGGCUGCGAAAGCUCGGCCUGAGCGACAAUGAAAUACACCGCUUGCCGCCGGACAUCCAGAACUUCGAGAACCUCGUCGAGCUGGACGUGUCCAGGAACGAUAUACCGGACAUUCCUGAGAACAUCAAAAAUUUACAGGCGCUACAGGUGGCGGACUUCAGCAGUAAUCCUAUUCCAAGGCUUCCAGCAGGAUUUGUACAGCUAAGGAAUUUAACUGUACUUGGACUUAACGAUAUGUCCCUUACAAACUUGCCACCUGAUUUUGGAAGUUUGGAGGCAUUGCAGUCGCUGGAAUUGAGGGAGAAUUUGCUCAAAUCCUUGCCCGAAUCGCUCUCACAGCUCUUCAAGCUCGAACGACUGGAUCUCGGUGAUAAUGAGAUCGAAGAAUUGCCUUCGCAUAUAGGAAAAUUACCAGCGCUACAAGAAUUGUGGCUCGAUCAUAAUCAGUUGCAACACUUGCCCCCUGAAAUAGGCGAGCUGAAAACGCUAGCGUGUUUAGACGUUUCGGAAAAUCGCUUGGAGGAUCUUCCUGAUGAAAUCGGCGGUCUCGAAUCGUUAACGGACUUGCACUUGUCGCAGAAUGUUAUCGAGAAAUUACCCGACGGACUUGGCGAACUGAAGAAAUUAACUAUCCUCAAAGUAGAUCAAAAUAGACUCUCUACAUUAAAUCCAAGUAUAGGAAAAUGCGAGAAUUUGCAGGAAUUGAUUCUUACAGAGAAUUUUCUCUUAGAGUUACCGGUAUCGAUAGGCAAACUUUGCAAUUUAAAUAAUUUGAAUGUCGAUAGAAAUAGUCUGCAAUUUCUACCGAUAGAAAUUGGAAAUUUGAAAAAGUUGGGUGUAUUGUCUUUAAGAGACAAUAAAUUACAAUAUCUUCCAGCUGAAGUGGGACAGUGCAGUGCCCUUCAUGUUUUAGAUGUAUCUGGCAACAGAUUACAUUAUUUACCAUAUUCUUUGAUCAAUCUGAAUCUGAAAGCGGUAUGGUUAAGCGAAAACCAGGCGCAACCAAUGUUAACGUUUCAAACAGAUGUUGACGAGGAAACGGGUCAAGAAGUAUUAACGUGUUUUCUUUUACCACAAUUGGAAUUCCAUCCUGAUGAUUCAGGUAGACUGGGAAUGUUGGUUGGUAUGAGAAACGUUCCAGGUGAGAUGCGUGAAUUGACAAGUAGUGACGAUGAAGGCUGGCAAGAAAGAGAAGCAUCAAGGACACAUUCAGUGAAAUUUACCGACGAACCACCAGAAGCUGAUAAAGAAACUCCAUUUGUACGUCAAAACACACCACAUCCAAAAGAGUUGAAAGCUAAAGCACACAAGUUAUUUAGCAAAGGGAAAAGUGAAAGUCGAUCAGAAUCUACAGAUGACCAGGAUGUUUCUCAAACAUUUGGAUUAGAUAAAACUGAACCAGAGACACUGACCAACACUGUAGAUAUGCCGCAAAGUGUUUCUGAACAAGAAGAACCUGUGGCAGAUACUGUACAAAAUAAUCAUAAAUUACCACUAACACCUGGUACCGAAUCAGAGAGUACAGAUAUUCAAAUUAAUAAAGAAAUAGAUGAGCCUCCUAUUCAGUAUGCUACAGAAUCUCAUUCGAAUGCAAAAGCUGAAAAUUCCAUCCCAGAAUCAAAAGAAAGAGAAGAGUAUGAGGAGGAAUCUGAAAACGAAGAUGUGCAAAGACACGUCGAAUUUAGUAUUGCAGAAGACGCUAAUAACGAGGAUAUUAGUGAGUCAAAUAAGCCCAAUAAACUUCAACGUAGAGACACUCCACAUCAUCUGAAAAAUAAACGCAUUCAUACGGCAAUUGACAAGGAAAAAGUUGCUUCCAUUAUAGCACAGGCACUUUUGAAAAAAUCUGAUGAAACUUCUACAUCUUUACCUUCACAAAUAGAGUCCACAGAAACCUUUGAUGCGCAUAAUCAAGAUGCGACGUCUGACAUUGAACCAGCACUGGAGAUACGGGAGGAGCAAUAUGAGAUUCAUAUAGAAAGAACGACAGGCGGAUUAGGUCUGUCAAUAGCUGGUGGUAUCGGAUCGACGCCUUUCAAAGGUGAAGACGAAGGCAUUUUCAUUUCAAGAGUUACUGAAGGUGGACCUGCGGACUUGGCUGGUUUGAGAGUAGGUGAUAAAGUGAUAUCCGUAAAUGGAGUAUCGGUAGUGAAUGUAGACCAUUACGAUGCCGUAGAAGUGUUAAAAGCGUGCGGACGUGUCCUUAUAUUAAAUAUUAUAAGGGAAGUUACGAGGAUAGUUCCACCCUACGAACAGGCACCGACGAGAAAAGAUUCCGUCUGCUCUAGUUUAAGCACAAGUAGAGCACCAAGUGCGACGUCUUACGUGUCAUCCACAGCGUUAUCGCAUACAUUAGAAAAUGGCGACGCAUCCGUGACCCAUGAAACUGCGAAGACAAAAAGGAUUCCCGAACCUAUAAAUUCUCUGAAGUCGAGUAGUGAACCUAUGGUGUCUGUUCUCUUUCAUACAACACUGAUACGAGACCAGAAUGGACUUGGAUUUAGUAUUGCCGGUGGGGAAGGUUCACCGCCAUUUAAAGAUAAUAGUGAUGCCAUAUUUAUCUCGAGAAUAACGGACGGUGGAGUUGCCCAAAAGGAUGGCAAAUUAUUAGUCGGAGACAAAGUAAUAUCUAUUAAUGGAGUAGAUAUGAGGGGAGCUAAACAUGAACAAGCUGUGGCUCUACUCACCGGUUUGGAAAGAUUUGUUCGACUAGUGGUCGAAAGGGAAAUACCGCUUUCUCAAGCAAAUCCCGCCUCCACCGUGGUAACUCCAUCGGAAAAAUCGCCGCGUGUUAUAGGUGCGCCGAAACCUUACACAGGCCUGUACAAUGCCAAUAGUUACAUGGCGAAUAGAUCUGGAUACGCCGGAUAUCGUCGUUCCAUGGACGCCGAUAAGGCACUGUCGCCAAGUCCCACUUCGAAGACGCCCCCGCCGACAUUACCUGCCAAGUCCGAUCAAGUCGUCGAAGAAAUGCCUAAGAUGAACGGCGUGAGUGAUUCGGGGAAGAACGUUUCGCCAACGUCCUAUGGCCCGAUUAAUCAAGCAUCGUAUCCGCAACCGGCUCCGAGGCAUAGCGUCACGCAGAUGACGUCACCUACCGUGAAUAAUAUCACCGGUUCCGCGACUACGACUACUCCCGCCUCUCAUGUAGAGCCUAGACCGGAUGAGACUGCCCAAGAGGAUAUACAGGUACCGAAGCCUAUCACCAACGAGGAAUUUCAAGCUAUGAUCCCCGCUCAUUUCCUUCGUCCUCCAACAUCCUCGCCUUCGCCAGACUCCCAUCAAGGCCCCAUUGUGACGGUGACGAUAAAGCAGCCUGAUACAUUGCCCGGGGAUGUUAGCUUCCCUCCAGCUCCCACUACACUCGGUAAAGUUACUGAGACCAUCACAAAGAGUACGCUCACCGAGACCGUCGUAACUAGGGUGACUGACAACCAGUUGGUACAACCGCUCAUUAUCGAGGACGUUAUCCUUGUGAAAGAAGGCUCACUGGGCUUCAGCAUCAUAGGAGGAACCGAUCACUCGUGUACGCCAUUUGGUACAAAAGAACCAGGGAUUUUUAUAUCUCAUGUUGUUCCUGGCGGCAUAGCUGCCAAGUCGGGUAAACUGAGGAUGGGUGAUAGGAUAUUAAAGGUGAAUGGUACGGAUGUGACAAAGGCCACGCAUCAGGAAGCGGUGAUGGAACUUUUAAGACCCGGGGACCAGAUUGUGCUCACUAUCCAACAUGAUCCGCUUCCGGAAAAUUAUCAGCUGGUCGAAAUAGAGUACAUCCCUGUGACAGAACUAGUGAUAACGAAGGAAGCAGGUGAAAAGCUUGGUAUGCACAUUAAGGGAGGUCGAAGAGGACAGAAGGGCAAUCCUCUCGAUCACACCGACGAAGGCGUUUUUAUAUCAAAAAUUAAUUCAGGCGGUGCAGCCAAGAGAGACGGACGAUUGAAGGUUGGAAUGAGGUUACUGGAAGUCAAUGGCACAUCGUUAUUAGGUGCGACUCAUCAAGAAGCUGUAAACAUCCUUCGGUGUUCAGGGAAUACGAUCACAUUGGUUGUGUGUAAGGGUUAUGACAAAAGUGACAUGGAACCGAUAUUAACAUUAUCAUCUGACAAUGGAGGUUCUAAGGAAGCUAAAGUGUCUAACGAAUCGAGGGAUCCACCCGCGGACGGUACUAAAUCGUUGUCGCAAAGUGUAUCCAGUUUAGAUCGAGACGAUGAGGAAGCUGCGAUUCUUAGGCAAGAGCAAGAAAUGAAAGCUGAACUCGUCGCUUGGGAACAAGAGGAACGAGAGCGAGCGCUUGUAGAACAGAGAGAAAAAUCUACACCCGAAAAAGUAAUGGAUGUUGUACGAGCAGCAGAAUCAUUAGUAAGCAAAUCGAAUAGCCCUGUCGACAUGGUACCACCAAAAUCACCCGGAGGUACCAAAGAUCUCAAAACCACGACGAUUGUUAUGAGUAAACACACACUAGCACCUCAGAAUCCUAAUAAUUCAAGAACGAAUGAGAUCUCUGGAAUGUCAACGGACUCUCCGUCUUCGUCGAAAUCAGCCACCCUUCCUAAGGCAGCCAGUUUCGAACGCUCUACUUCUAUGCACACUUUACCCUCUCCGACGAAAAAAAAAUCACUGUCUAAACGUAGCAUCACGUUUGCCGAUCUGCCGCCGAUCUCAAAAAAGAGCUCGAAUCUUAAGCCAUCCCAUGUCAAACCCACGUUGUCCGCAAUCAACGUUGUCGAGCAUCCAGUUCGGCAUCCUACGUCCACCCUUUCUCCGCGAACCAUCACAUCCUACGAAACACCCCAUGUACAGCACGCACGUUUCCGGCUUCCCCCGACACCUCUAACCGCCCCCGAAUGCUGGGGAGAUCUUGACACCUCGGCUUCUCUUAGCAAGCGACAGAUAGCACGUUCUGUUGAUGGGAAUUUUCAGGUUGAGCAAUCUCCAACUUCUUCUCCGACGCCACCAUUGACAAAAAUGUCAGUCAGCGAUAAAAAGAAGCUCUUUGAAAGUGCCAUGGAAGAACACUUGAAACCAUCACCUAAACCAGAUAAAAUAUUCAGUUUUUUAAGUCAGGACGAGGUAGAAAAAAUGAGACAAGAAGAAGAGAAAAAGAUUGCAACUUUAACGCGAGACGAAUUGAAAUCAUGGGCACAACUUGAUGAAAAUGAAGGCCUCGAAGAUCUGGAUCUCACGACGGACGAUCAGAAUAAUGGACGACCUAAUAGCCGACUGAGCUCGCGAACUUCGAUCCCUCUUAUCCAGAAUGUUCCCAGCAGCGUGAGGACAGCAAAAGCGGAACGUCGUUUGAAAGAACGAUUAAUUCAAGAGGGCCUUAUCUCGGACGAGGACGAGGAACAUCUUCUGAGCCCCGCAGAACAACGAGCGCUUAGAGCUGAGAAACGUGCCGCUUGGCGACAAGCUCGCCUUAAAUCUCUCGAGCAGGAUGCGCUCCAGGCACAGAUGGUGAUAAAAAAAAUGAGUGAAAUAAUGGACUCUAAUAAAAGCGAAGAUACACGCGAUGCGACUGAUAUAAUUGAUCCUGCUUCCGAUCAAGAGAAGACUGUCGAAUUCGCUACAUUACGGCCUUCUAGCGCGGAUUUUCCUAAACUCGCCGUGCGCAGUAAAGUGGGUCCCCCUAAAGAGAUACGCGAAUCUGAGAAAGUCGUGGACGAGAAGGUCACUCGGCGUACCGAGGAAUAUCUAGACGAGGUGACGGGUGAACGUCGUGUACGAACUGUCGAGUACGUCGAGAAGCUCAUUGAGCGUCAGAGUCCAUCGCUUACAUCGAUGGUACGUUACGCACCACCUUGAACUACGAAUGUCACUUCUACUGAUCUAACUAACAACCUUUACCUGAAUUUUAUUGGUGGAGACUCUGAGGGAGAAGAUUAUAUCUUUGGAAUUAAGUAACGCGGAGGACGAUGUGGAAAGUGCGAGCGAUGCCGGCAGCGAGAGCGAAGACACUGCAAUGGGACAAAAUAUCGCCGAUAGUACCGCGGUGGGAAAACCAGAUUCUCAUGUCACAACCGAC